GGAAGCUUGUGCGCACUCGCGCACGCACGCGAGAUCGCUCUACACGUGUAGAGACACAGAGAGAAAGGGAUUGGUUUUGUUGCUGAGCUGGGCAGACAGAAUCAGACAAUGACCACAUGGAAAGUGAAGACCAAGAAGCUUGGGAAGAAAAGAUCCCUGGUCAUAUGUUUGUCACCUUCAGGAACCUGUGAAGAAAUGCGAUGGGGGCAAUGGUAGCUUUGUCCUUUGGGACUUAAGGGGCAAACAUAACGGGCUCUGCAUUAACUUUCCUAUGUCAGCAAAAAUUCCACGGCGAAAUGGCGGUUUAUGUGACCUUUUCUCGAGGCUCCAGAAACAACUGCCUGAUUUCCUGUGCUUCGGCUCUUCUCGUUAUAUUUCCAAGGUCCAGGCACAGAAGCUGGCUUCCUUCCAGGUGGGAUAUCCUGAUUGGAAGUUAACUCUGACACUGGACUCUGCUCUUUCCUUGGAAUCACUUUGACACAAGUUCCUUAAAGAGCGGUGAUGUCUACACGUGCUAGUUUGCACACACAAUACACUGGACCCAUGAUCCGGGUUAGUCAUCCGCGGUGACUUCGGAGUUCCAGGGCAGGGGGGAGAGGAAAGAGUCUGAGAAACUUGGAAGUUCUUCCUGGCAUGACUGGAAGUGUAAGAUGUGACAUCCUGGCUCCAAUCCAGUGCAAAGGGGAAUUUGAAGAGCAGCGCACAUAUUUGUAAUUUUCCAGCCUCGGGCACACAUUUCCUCUCCUGACCAUUUGUGUUCCUUCAGAUUUUACAGAGAGAUCUGUCAGUUCUCUGAAAGAGAUGCCAGUGCAGCGGACACUUGAGAGAACAGAGAGACCUUGAGACAGUCUGAACAGAAAAUGGCUUGUAGAUUCAGCAACAAACCAUCCUGACCUAUGGGAGUGGAUGAUUCUUGCAAGAGCUGGGGGAUAGUUGGUUAAAAUGAAUAAAAAGAUAAUUACCC